UACAGAGGUCUCAAGCGUUGUUCGGAUUCAUUGGGCGUAAAGGGUGCGUAGGCGGCGCGGUAAGUCGGGUGUGAAAUCUCAGAGCUCAACUCUGAAACUGCACUCGAUACUGCUCUGCUUGAGGACUGGAGAGGAGACUGGAAUUCACGGUGUAGCAGUGAAAUGCGUAGAUAUCGUGAGGAAGACCAGUGGCGAAGGCGGGUCUCUGGACAGUUCCUGACGCUGAGGCGCGAAGGCCAGGGGAGCAAACGGG
rnacentral:rRNA from 1 species